UCAGAAUCAGAGGAAGAAGGCAGUAAAACUGUGUUUUUAUAGACGAAUAAAGUGACAGUGCUGCCAAAACUUCUACCACUAUUUAACAAGCAUCACCUUCUUUUAAGCCUUCGAUGACAAUAUCUCAUCUGUAUUUCCACUCUUCACCAACAAGUUCUUAGAGUUCCUUCUUGCCUUCACCUACCACCUGGUCCAAAGGCAUUGCCACGUAUUUUAACUUUUGUUAUAUCAGCUUCCGACUUUCAGCUUGGAGGAGAAGAGUAAAACAGAUGCAUUGAAUGAAGAUCUCACAGUGACAUGAAAAAGAGGCAAAGCUUUGUGUGCUGGAAAACUUAGAGGAUUCUCCUUCAUUGUGGAAGGUUUGGACUGGGCCUUAAAGAUUGAGGACCUAUUGGGAACCAUUAGACUUUGGCCAAUCACGAGACUAUAUGAACUGCAUAUAGUAAAAAUAUAUUGAUAGUAAUAUAGUUUGGUUUUUAUUUAAUAAACUAAGAAGAAAAGAUGAGUUUGGGGUCAAAGAGCAGAAGGGAGAAAGGAAGGGCAAAGGGAAGGGGAAAGAAUAGAGACAUAAGAGAAAAAUCAGUAAGCAGACUUGAGAAAGGUAAGACUGGAAUCUUUGUACAAUAGGUCUGUUUUUCUAGUGACUUUUUAAUUGUAAUAAUUUCCAUUUUUCUGAUUUCAAAAUAAGGUACAUAUGAUUAAAAAUGUAAAUUAUGUUUAAAGUAAAAUUAAGAUAUGAAUAAUAAAUUAAUACUAAUAAUGACUGCCUACAUCAUACAUUUGGACACAAAGUAUAGUCCAGGAGCACCUGGGAUUCCCAAAGAAACUUUCAGGCAGUCAGGUAGAAACCGCUUUCAUAAUAAUACUGAAACUAUAUUUGACUCUUUCACUCUCAUUCUUUCCUGUGCAUUCUAUUGCAGAGGCUAAAUGUACGCCAUUGUUCUGACAGAUCACUGAAAGUGUGUCUGUGUAUUCUUGUGUUUCAAAAGGUUCUGCUUAAAUUUAUAAUAUAAUAAAUAUAAGUAGUUAGGUUUGACAUAAAUAAAAGCUUUUGACAUUCUCAAUAAUUUUUAAGAGCCUACGACACAAAGUUUGAUAACCAGUGACUAAGAAUUUCUUAUAUUCAGAUCCAAUUCUUUCUAGUCUUCUAGUGUGUGUACGGGUGUCAUUCAAAAAUAGUGACUUUAAAAAUAUAUGUCAUUUAAAAUAUAUAUAUACUUAUAGAAUAAGUGUAAAUAUAUGGGUGUAUAUAUAUUUGUGGUAUUUUAAACCUAUUUAAUUUAAAUUUGUAUUAUAG
rnacentral:lncRNA from 10 species